rnacentral:rRNA from 1 species
UACGUAGGGUGCGAGCGUUGUCCGGAAUUACUGGGCGUAAAGAGCUCGUAGGUGGUUUGUCGCGUUGUCCGUGAAAACUCACAACUCAAUUGUGGGCGUGCGGGCGAUACGGGCAGACUGGAGUACUGCAGGGGAGACUGGAAUUCCUGGUGUAGCGGUGGAAUGCGCAGAUAUCAGGAGGAACACCGGUGGCGAAGGCGGGUCUGCUGGGCAGUACUGACGCUGAGGAGCGAAAGCGUGG